UUCCCUACGGGGGGCAGCAGUGAGGAAUAUUGGUCAAUGGGCUUACGCCUGAACCAGCCAAGUCGCGUGAGGGAAGACUGCCCUAUGGGUUGUAAACCUCUUUUGUCAGGGAGCAACGCCGGCUACGUGUAGCCGGACUGAGAGUACCUGAAGAAAAAGCAUCGGCUAACUCCGUGCCAGCAGCCGCGGUAAUACGUAGGGAGCAAGCGUUAUCCGGAUUUAUUGGGUGUAAAGGGUGCGUAGACGGGAAAACAAGUUAGUUGUGAAAUCCCUCGGCUUAACUGAGGAACUGCAACUAAAACUAU
rnacentral:rRNA from 1 species